UUUCUAUUUUAAAAGUAGAAAAUUUUUUCCUUUUUUCUUUUUAAUAAAAUUACAGAAAAUGUCGUUAGGGUUCGAGAUGCAAGCAAAGGAACCGCCGGAGAAAGGUGUGAUGGUUUCGGCAAGCGUUCCAGCACCGGAACACCAGAAACCGAGGCUCGAUCCAUUCGCGGGUACUCCACAGGUAUGAUCGUUCUGGAUUAUGGCCGUCGCGGAUAUGCCGACGAAGCGACUAGACUCCCCCGCACCAACAACACCUUUGAGAAGCUCGCUAAGCUGCCAGGGAAAAGCAUAAAUUUUGAGCCUGACAACAGCUUUAAAUUUCUUCCAAAUGCUACAACUGAGGUUUGUACCAAUUAGCUAUAGCAUAUGCUUAAUUAAUUUUAUAUAGCAUAUACAAAUUUCAACAUUCAAACAACCUAGGUUGCAAGUUUAAUACAGAAGAAGGCAUGGUGUCUUAUUAUGUUUUUGCUCAUGUUCAUUAGAAAUCAUUCAAACUUAUUAUGUGAUGCCAU